UCUCUGAUAGUCUAGUGGUUAGGAUUCAGUGCUUUCAGUGCUGUAGCCUGGGUUCAAUCCCUGGUUUGGGAA
rnacentral:tRNA from 1 species